UUUGGGAUAAGGUUUCAAAUUUUAAAAAAUAAAAAAUUAUAAUUAAAAUUUUCAAAAUAAAAGAAAGAUUAUUUUGGUCAUUUUAUUUUAGGGCUAUUUUGUGACAAAAACUUAAAAAUAGAUAUUUAAGAGAAUUGUCCAAUCUUUUUUCCUAAAGCUUAAAUAGUUGAGCUUAAAAACAACAAUAUAACUACUGGAUUAGUGGGUUAAUCAAUGCCAGCGAGAAUGAGUAAAUGACUUACUCAAUGAAACAACUUCUAAACUAGUCUUUCUACAAAAACUAUUAUAUGAUUCAAUGCAAAACGAAUACUGACUAGCAGCAGACAACAAUUCAACAAAGUUAACACAAUUACAUUACUACAUUCAGUUCACAACAUCACCAAACACGUAUCAUCACAAAUGUGACUCGACGUGUGCAACCACACCCCCAAUCAGUGAAAUUAAUGCACCGGUCGAUGCUCUACUGUGAUUACCCGCAUACGUCCCUUUUGGCUCAACCAGCCAAUCCGUCCACAGUCUCCCCAGUCAAUUAUACCUAAACGGGCCAUCACAUCUCCACUACCCUCCGGACCCUUACGAAUCACAAUCAUCACAUAGUCUCAUGUCUCAUGUUAAACGACCAUAAUUUUCAUUAAACGGUUCAUUAUAUUCAUCUAAUAACCUACUUCGUCCAAUUCUUAUCACAAAGUAAUACCAUAAAUCAAUCCACAACAUUAACACAAAACAUUCUGUUUAAAUUCUUUAACAAUGCAGAGGUUUUUAUGCAUAAUACAAACCGUGUGG
rnacentral:lncRNA from 1 species